CUUCCUUCCAAGCUAAAGGGAUUAAGCUAUUGAAGAAAUAAAAAUUAAGGACUAAACUACCAAGGAAAUGAAGAUAAGUAAUCUAAAAGGGCGGAGAGUCGAGUUGGUUUGGUAUUGGAGUUUUACAACCAG